rnacentral:lncRNA from 1 species
CCUAUUUUAGUUUAAUUCCUUUGGAUAUUGAAUUCAUCUAACCUUCUUAUUUGAAUUGAGCUAUAUAUGAUUGCUUGGAAUCCGUAUAUACUCUUGCUUUCAUUUCAUUCCAAAUCUGAACACAUUUGUGAGAGAUUGUUGCUUGCAUCGUACUGAUUCGUAAAGGCACAUGUACGUUUUGUUGUUUCGCGUGUGCUUCCGAUAUGUGCUAUUUAUUAUUCAUACUGCCUUUUGUACUCUG